UGUCGCAGUUCGUAAAAUUACUGAUGUGAUAAAUACAAGGCAAAGGAAGUUGAGAGCCAUGGCCAUAACCGUGGUACACAUCCUCCGCACUUCGAAAUGCUCCCUUCCCUCGUCCAGAUGGUCAGGAAAGUUGCACAAACGGUGCUGUUUAUACCCAAAUGCACCCUCUUGUGUCACUCCCUUCCAAAUAGUUUGGCACACGGCAGCCACCUCCCGUUUCCUCCCAAUUCCGAAGAAGUUCUCAAACAGUCACAGCCCCGCGCGAAAUGGGAUGGUCAGAAUUACACCAAAAUACCUCAAGCUAUUUUUCCCCAAAUUCGGCCGUUCCUGCAUAUGGGCAUUCCAUCUACAGGAACUCUUCCCCCCUCGAACAUCCACCGAGGUCACAGCUCUGUGGCGAAGAAACAAUUGCGAGGUGGUGGUUGCUGAUGUGAGGUCUACAGACAAAAAUUCCUCUUUCCUUCUCCAACAUUCAGAGUUUAAAACUCUGCAGACCCACAAAUGGCUUGUGGAUGAGACAAUCGAAUGGUACUUUCAAGCCACCACAAAAAAACUGUGGUCACGGGACAAAGUUACACCCUAAAUCAUUACUCAGCCCAAGUCAUUCUAAAUGGAGAGUGUGCAAGCAAAGUCUGCCCAAGUAUCUGCAUGAACCAUCAGGCCAAGUGUUCUUGGUUGACCCUGCUGGACAGAAAGAGAACGAGGAAUCGGAACACGGCUGCAUUAAAAUUCAGAGAAUACUUCAAAAUAAGAAGAUCCUGUCAUGGAAAAGACGACUGGGUGGACAUGAAGUGGAAAGGAGGGGAAAUAACUCACACCAUAUAGCAGGACACCUUCAGCUGCGGGGUCUUUGUAAUGCAGAUGGCCAAGGAAGUUGCACAGAACUUCCCCAACAUCCCAAAUUGAUAUAGAGCCUUCAAAAACACACGGAGCAACUGCGAAAAGAAAUGGCUGAGGAUAUACUAAAAAUGUCUGGUAUGUAAUGACAUUUAAAUCAAAGUAUAUGUCAAUUCUUUAAUUUUAUGUAUGUAGUUGUGUGGGACAGCCAUAUGUUCAGUUCAUGUCUAUGAAGUCAGAGUUCAACAAAGCCAACAACUCCUUCAUGUGUGCCACUGAUAAAGAACCUGGAUGUGGCCCAAAGACUGACUGGGUUAGUAACUUUAUUUAAUAUGUUUAUAAUCUUUUGACAACAGUGACGGCAUGUAAGACAAUUUAUGAUAUAACACAAUGGAUGGCUAAUUCGUCAUACUGCAUUGAUAUUUGAUAUAAUUUAUAACGUGUUAUGCUUUGUUUUGUUUUAGAUUGAAUGUUUUGCCUGCCAACGGUGGUUCCAUGUGCUGUGCCUAGGAAUGAAGACACAAGAGUUCAACAGAGUAAAGAACACAAACUGGA